UCUCCCCCAGUACGGCUGUCUUCACACACCGUCCCGCCCAAGGCUCUCUGAUGGCUCCAGGGGCCUCAGGGCACCUGCGAUCCCUGCUGGCCCUGGAGGACAAGGACCACAUCUGCCCAGCCGUCUGUGCUGACGCGAUUCUGCUGCUUGCCACCUGCCUGUCCCGAGGAGUUCCUCGGUUGCAGCACUGAUGACAGCUUCGGGCACCUGAAGAGGGAGGUCCUCGAGCUAAGCUGCCUCUGCCCCUGCCCCUGCCCCUGCCCCUGUGAGGACCUCCAGGACCAGCGCUGCCAGGGCAUAGCGUGAGUGUCUCGGCGGCCAGGGCAGAUGCGGUCCUGGCUCAGAAGGAGGCGAGGAGGCUGAGAGACGAGAAUGGUGGAAGUACACAGGCGGCGCCACGCCAGGAAUAAGAGUUGGGGCAAGAAGACCAGGCCGGCACGACGAGCACGUGGGUACCAUCCCGGUCAGCGCUGUCCCCAAGCUUCCAGCACCUCAGCCGCUCAGGGGGCUGCGUACACAGACCCUGGGGGCCCUGCCCUACAGCCUCUGCUUUGGAGAGUCCGGGCUGGCCCAGAACUCACACUGCAGAAGGUUUUCAGUGCUGGGGGUGGGACCCAGGGCCCUGCGCAGGCCAGGCUGGCUCUGUAUCCCGGAGCUCCGGCCCAGCCCUGAAUCUGCAUUUCUUGCUCGCCCUGGGCAACACUGAUGCUGCUGGAGAA
rnacentral:lncRNA from 1 species